UAGGGAAUCUUCGGCAAUGGACGGAAGUCUGACCGAGCAACGCCGCGUGAGUGAAGAAGGUUUUCGGAUCGUAAAGCUCUGUUGUAAGAGAAGAACGAGUGUGAGAGUGGAAAGUUCACACUGUGACGGUAUCUUACCAGAAAGGGACGGCUAACUACGUGCCAGCAGCCGCGGUAAUACGUAGGUCCCGAGCGUUGUCCGGAUUUAUUGGGCGUAAAGCGAGCGCAGGCGGUUAGAUAAGUCUGAAGUUAAAGGCUGUGGCUUAACCAUAGUACGCUUUGGAAACUGUUUAACUUGAGUGCAAGAGGGGAGAGUGGAAUUCCAUGUGUAGCGGUGAAAUGCGUAGAUAUAUGGAGGAACACCGGUGGCGAAAGCGGCUCUCUGGCUUGUAACUGACGCUGAGGCUCGAAAGCGUGAGGAGCAAACAGGAUUAGAUACCCUGGUAGUCCACGCCGUAAACGAUGAGUGCUAGGUGUUAGACCCUUUCCGGGGUUUAGUGCCGCAGCUAACGCAUUAAGCACUCCGCCUGGGGAGUACGACCGCAAGGUUG
rnacentral:rRNA from 1 species